GAUUAUCCUCGCACCCUCUAAGUCUUCCAAGGCCACCAUCUGCACUAGCUGGAAGGGGGCUUAGGUUGAGGGUCGGACAGUCUUACAGGUGGAGAGACAGCCUGGGUCACACACUCACCAGCAGUCUCUAAGGCUCCUAGCUUCUGCCCGGAGGGCCGGGCGUCGGCCCGGGUCGCCUCCCGAGGGCGCAACAGUCCUCGCUGGUGCGCGCAGAACCAGAGGGGCGGCAACGGUUCACCGCAGAAUCUGCUCCGGGACUGCGCGCGGCGUCUCCCGGGAGGCAGCCGCUGCGGAACUGGGUUGUCGGUCUGUCAGAGAUUGACCUAAAGCUGCGGAAGCGGGUGGCGGCUCUCCGGGACGCUCUGCGAGGCGGCGCAAGUGGCGCAGCUGCUGCUGCUCCGGACCGUAAAAUUCCGCCCGUGGCGACACCUGCGCCUGUCGGUCACCCAGCCAGGGCCUCAGGACGACCCGCCCCUCUGUCCCUGGACCUCUGUAGGAACCCAGAGAAUUAAUGUUAAUUGUCUUAAUUGGUCGCCCUCUCUUCCUUCUCCCUUAGUCCGCCAGGUUGGAGACAGGAAAAGGUGGUGUUUUCCGGCGUUGAUGUCCCCCGCCGGCUAGGUUGACCUGGAAAAGGAGCUAGAACCCCGAGUAGUCGCACGCUCCGGGUCUGGCCCCAACCCUGGGACUCUCAGGUUGCCUGGAAAUCCUGGCACAAAGCAGAGCCCCUCCUGGAGACCUUGGCUUCCCUGGGCGCUAUCGGGGUCAUCACAAGGGUGCCCCCAAUCUGAAUCGCUCUGAAACCUUAGACCGGGUGCACUUUAAGCCCAGGUCCUAAACCACGGUCGACGUUAAGAUGAAUUUAAAAAGGAAGCGGACACAACUGUUCGGGAAAGCAAAAUACUUGGGUGGAGUGUUAAAAGCCUCAAAGAAAAUAAUAGUUGGCAGGUUAAACGGCCAUGAGGUCGGAAGUCAAAUACAAAACCGCAGAAGUGAUACCAGAAUUUUGACAAGCAAAACAGUCGGUGAAGAUAAGGGUCCCGGCACUGUUUCCCUUCUCCGAAUGACCGACUGCUCCGAAGUUGCCUUUGGCAGAUACCUGGGUUCCACUCCGAAUUCCUCAGAGUUUUACUUGGGGUUCAUAUUUCAAAAUAUAUGUUCCAUUUGGCACUAAUGUAUAUAUUUUAUAUAUGAAUUUAUUGAAAAAUAUUAAAUGUUACUGGCCUAGUUAGAUAAAGGUAUUUUUAUAAAUAUUUAUGCACAGCUUUCAUUACAUAUGGUAUUUUUAAAAGUACAAAUAUGCAUGUAUAUACAUUUAUGAAAUGCUGUAUGAAAAUUCCUUUUUUACGCAUAAAAGCAUUCCUUACACAUAUGUCAUGUGUGUGAUUUUUAAAAUUCGUUCUAUUGUUAGCUGCCAUUAAAUGCAGUCCAUUUCCACGUGUCUAAGUAAAUAAUUUCUUUUACAGUUUGUGCAAACAUAGGGUGGCAGGUGGCUAUAAGUUAAAACUUUUAUGCCAAAACUCUGUUUUCAUUCUUAUGUGCUGUUUCUGUUUCACGUAGAGGUGGUUUCUUUCUAUAUGAGGUUUUAAACACGUCUUUACCAUUGAGCCCUAGACAGUGCAUGUGUAACCUACCUCUUCAAGGGUUUCUGGUAGUGCUGACUUGAUCCAUCCUGGCUUCCCUGAGGCUGUGUUAUUUUAUUUGUGCUGAACACCUUCAGUGAGGAAAAAAGCCCUCAUGUUGUGAAUUUUCUUUCCAAAUGAGUUCAUUUCCUGAUUUAGUCAUGGCAGCCUUUUGGUUCCGUGGGUUUAGAUUUUGCUAACUUCAGGAGGCUCUCCUGCUAAGCAGAAAGGAAAACUUCGCUUCGUGACGACUGAGACUUCUGAGACUGUAUUUCAGAGAGGGUUAGCCUUGGAAAAAAAUCAGUGGGAAUCUUGGAAGUCUAGGACUAAUAGCUAUAGCACGCAGGGCCUACGGAUGAGUCCCUAUCAUCUCUUUGACUUCCCACUGAAGCUAGACUAGUGUUGGUUUCCCCUAGGAUGGAGUAGGGAGAACUGUCACGUGGCUUCUGUUCAUGGCUGCCUUGCCAAUACUUGCUCUCACUUGUCUUCAUCCCACCAUAUGAGACUCCAAGCUGCCCUUCAGUUUAUGCCUGCUGAGCCCUGCCCUCUAUCUGUCCAGGACACUUCUUCCCCCAAAGCUUCAAAGCCUCCUUUCUCCCUUCAUUAAGAUCUUUUUUUUUUUUUUCAAAUAAGACUUCAAGGGUGAGACUUUCCCUCCCCUAAAAUAGCAGUCCCACCCAAAUUCCCUUUCCCUGAAUAAAGCAGGAAGAAUAGUUUCUUCAUGACCUGAUAUGACAUCAUAUGUAUUUAUAGUGUUGGUUAUGGCCUGUUUUCUGCGAUGCAUGGAUGGAUGGGCAUAAAGUACUUUGUAGCUUCUGUACCUAAAACAGGGCCUGGCACGUAAUAAUAACAAUAAUAUCUGUUGAAUAAAAAGUCCUUAAUAGCAAUC
ensembl:lincRNA Gm17315 predicted gene, 17315